UUAACUCAUAUGUGUAUGGAGUUGGAACAGCGCCCCUAGCGGCAAACGUAGGCAAACAUGCCAACUCCAUACAAAUAUGAGUUA
rnacentral:pre_miRNA from 1 species